rnacentral:rRNA from 1 species
CCCCGUACCGUAAACCGACACAGGUGGGUGAGGAGAGUAUCCUAAGGCCAGCGAGAGAACUAUUGUUAAGGAACUCGGCAAAAUGACCCCGUAACUUAGGGAGAAGGGGUGCCUGUCUAUGACAGGCCGCAGAGAAUAGGCCCAAGCGACUGUUUACCAAAAACACAGGUUUCUGCUAAGUCGCAAGACGAUGUAUAGGAGCUGACGCCUGCCCGGUGCUGGAAGGUUAAGGGGAUCUGUUAGAGCAAUCGAAGCAGUGAACUUAAGCCCCAGUAAACGGCGGCCGUAACGAUAACGGUCCUAAGGUAGCGAAAUUCCUUGUCGGGUAAGUUCCGACCCGCACGAAAGGCGUAACGAUUUGGGCACUGUCUCAACAAUAGACUCGGUGAAAUUGUAAUCCCGGUGAAGAUGCCGGGUACCUGCGACAGGACGGAAAGACCCCAUGGAGCUUUACUGUAGCUUGACGUUGGGUCUUGGUACUACAUGUACAGGAUAGGUGGGAGACUAUGAAGCAUGGACGCCAGUCUGUGUGGAGUCAUCCUUGGGAUACCACCCUUGUAGUACUGGGAUCCUAACCAUAGGCCUUGAAUCAGGUCUUGGAACACCGUCAGGUGGGCAGUUUGACUGGGGCGGUCGCCUCCUAAAAAGUAACGGAGGCGCUCAAAGGUUUCCUCAGCACGGUCGGAAAUCGUGCGAAGAGUGUAAAGGCAAAAGGAAGCUUGAUUGCAAGACAUACAGGUCGAGCAAGGACGAAAGUCGGACUUAGUGAUCCGGUGGUACCGCAUGGAAGGGCCAUCGCUCAACGGAUAAAAGCUACCCUGGGGAUAACAGGCUUAUCUCCCCCAAGAGUCCACAUCGACGGGGAGGUUUGGCACCUCGAUGUCGGCUCAUCACAUCCUGGGGCUGUAGUAGGUCCCAAGGGUUGGGCUGUUCGCCCAUUAAAGUGGUACGCGAGCUGGGUUCAGAACGUCGUGAGACAGUUCGGUCCCUAUCCGUCGCAGGCGUAGGAAAUUUGAGAAGACCUGUCCUUAGUACGAGAGGACCGGGAUGGACGUACCUCUGGUGUACCAGUUGUUCUGCCAAGGGCAUGGCUGGGUAGCUAUGUACGGAAUGGAUAAGCGCUGAAAGCAUCUAAGCGCGAAGCCAACUUCAAGAUAAGAUUUCCCACCGUAAGGGUAAGACCCCAGGAAGACUACCUGGUUGAUAGGUCGAAGGUGUAAGUGCAGUAAUGUAUUUAGCUUAUCGAUACUAAUAGGUCGAGGACUUGACC